rnacentral:tRNA from 1 species
CCCUGGUGAUUCAGUUGGUAAAGAAUCUGCCUGCAGUGCAGGAGACCUGGGUUCAAUCCCUGGAUCAGGAA